AGGAUGCGAGCGUUAUCCGGAUUUAUUGGGUUUAAAGGGUGCGUAGGCGGAAUGCCAAGUCAGCGGUAAAAUCGCGGGGCUCAACCUCGCUCCGCCGUUGAAACUGGCGUUCUUGAGUGGGCGAGAAGUAUGCGGAAUGCGUGGUGUAGCGGUGAAAUGCAUAGAUAUCACGCAGAACUCCGAUUGCGAAGGCAGCAUACCGGCGCCCAACUGACGCUGAAGCACGAAAGCGUGGGUAUCGAACAGGAUUAGAUACCCUGGUAGUCCACGCAGUAAACGAUGAAUACUAGCUGUUCGGGGCAAUUGGGCCUUGAGUGGCACAGCGAAAGCGUUAAGUAUUCCACCUGGGGAGUACGCCGGCAACGGUG
rnacentral:rRNA from 1 species